ACUUUCUUGGUAUGGAGUUUGCUAGAUCCAAGAAAGGUAUUUUCAUUUCUCAAAGAAAAUAUAUACUUGACUUAUUAUGUGAAACAGGUUUACUUGGAUGUAAGGCUACAGAAACUCCUAUAGAACCAAAUUUGAAACUUCAACCAGCAAGUCCAGUAGAGGUGAUUGACAAAGAAAAAAACCAACACCUAGUUGGGAGACUUAUUUAUCUCUCGCAUACUCGUCCCGAUAUUGCUUUUACGGUAAGCAUGGUGAGUCAAUUCAUGCAGUGUACCGAAUUUUAAGGUACUUAAAGGGGACUCCAAGAAAAGGACUUCCCUAUGAGAACCGAGGACAUCUCUAAGUGGAUGUGUUUACUGAUGCAAAUUGGGCAGGAAGUAUAAUUAAUAGGAGAUCAACUUCGGGGUAUUAUACUUUUGUUGGAGGCAAUCUUGUGACUUGGCGGAGUAAACAGCAAAGUGUUGUGUCUAGAAGUAGUGUUGAAGCUGAGUUUAGAAACACAGCCCACGACAUUUGUGAAGUUUUGUGGAUUAAACAAUUACUUGAAGAACUUAAGGUUGCUAGCCCUUUACCUAUGAAGGUCUUUUGUGAUAAUAAAGUUGUCAUUACCAUUGCACAUAAUCCAGUACUCCAUGAUAGAACUAAACAUAUCGAGGUUGAUGAUUUAGUAAGCAAGUUAGCCAUGAAUGACAUCUUCAAGCCAGCUUGAGGGGUAGCAUUGAGAAUCUCAAUCGUAUAAAAAAUUUUCUGAUCUAGUUGUUACCUAUUUUUUAUGGAUAAUUUGUUGUUGUUUUUUAAGGAUAAGUUGUUGCUGUUUUUUAGGGAUAAGUUGUAUAUUUUAAAUUUAUUUUGUUCCUAGAAAUUUGGGUGUACAGCUGUAGAUUUAGUUUGAUUUGUUAUAGUUUUUCUAUAAAAGGAAGCUAGUUUCCCUUCCUUAUUCAAUUAAUAUACGACAUUUUUCUUUUUUCCUUUUCUACAAAAAUGUUGGACAGCAAGAAAGGAUCAUGCACAGGAUUUGUAUAAGCAAUGACCUAUGGAAGAAAAUUACCGAUCCUUUAGCAUCAACAUAAGGAAAGAAAGAAAAUCUAUGUGGUCUUAAAUUUCCUUGAGAAGUUCAAGAUCUCUGAUAAAAUAUCUUUCUGCAAGUUUCAAGAUCUCUUCUUGGUUGAGAUAUCAUUUAUAAUUUUCUUGAAGUGGAGCAGUCAGAACCUCCCCAGAAUUCCAUGUGGCUGGAGUUCAGGUACAUUACAAUUUGGUGAACAUUACAACUAUACUUUCUGCGGUUCAGUUACAUUACAAUUUGGUGAACAUUGCAUUGAUACUUGGAAGGUUAAGAUGCAUAUGUUUUUCAAACCUGACUUCAGUUAAACAUUUAUGAACAGGAUAAAACAUUCCCUAAACAUAUAGAUAUCAAAAUUUCAAGAAACGAACUCUUAAAAUAGUUAUUGCAAAAUGUAAUAAGAAAAUACACACAUUAAAAAUGGAGGAUAAAAGGGCAAGGGAGCAUACUGAAUGAGUGAUGUUCUCAAGAGAAUCUACAAUGCAAUGAGCAUAAUCGUAACUUGGAUAAACACACCACUUGUCUCCAGCAUGUGGGUGAGGAGUAAACUGGACAAAAGAAGUGAAAUCAAUUAGUAACUACUCAUGUUUUUUUUUUUUUGAUAGGUAAUUUAGUAACUACUCAUGUUGAAAUAGUUAAGAUGUCUAUGAGUACAGACUUGCCUUGAUGCGAUAUGCAAUAAGGUCAUACAUAUUAAAAUUAUCACUCUGCAUGUCUUGCUUCAUCCGAAGCGUAGCUUUGCCUUCUUCAAUCAUGCCUCGUCUCAUUUCAUCAAACAGUUUCAAUGAUUCUUCGAUUGGUCUAUCCCUCCAAGGACUAUUCAUCUUCUUUUCCCUAUAUUCUUUUAUCUCUUCAGGUGUCUGCAAUCAAUGACUUUUUAGAUAACUUUUCUCAACUAUAGAAAAACCUCAUGAAUGCAAAACAAAAGAACUAACAUCAGAAAAGAAAUCACCAUUUCUUGAGCACCAUUAUGACUGAAAUCAAUGUUCCGAAAUUACACAACCCCAGAACCUGGAUAUCAGUUAGUGAUUGGGAUCAAGAUAUGGUGCUCAAUCAUGAAUUAUUUAGCAGUCUCCAAUAAUUAAUUAUAAGGAAGUCAAAACAGAUAACUGUAAGAUUAUUUAGCAGUAUCCAAGAAUUAAUUAUAAGGAAUGAAAUAAAAAAAUAUCAGAUUUAUGUAUGAAAUCAAUCAUAUAAUUUAUAUUUAGUAAGCAACCUGGUGAUCAACAUAAGCUUGGCCCCUUCUUAUCAGCUCCACUGCAAGAUCAUAAAGAUCUUGGAAAUAGUCACUGGUAUAGGUGAUCUGCAAAAUGCCAAUAGAUAUCAAAUGUUGCCCAAAGAAAGGCACAACCUAUGACAUUAAAUCUAGAUCAUAAAUUAUACCUUGAAAGGUUCCCAACCCAUCCAUUGGACGAUUUCUUCAAUAUGAUCAAUAUACUCUUUCUUUUCAGCUUCUGGGUUUGUGUCGUCAAACCUAACAUAGCCACAGAGCACAACUAAACUCAGAAACUAUAGAAACUUAAAGCUUCUUUAUCCUUUUUCGGUGGAAGAAAAGCAGUCCAAGAUUCAAAUGAAGUUCAAUAAACUAUUGCAAAUUUAAGUAUAUAAAAGCAAUCUGUUACCCUUGACUUUGAUGACACAACGCUAAGGGCCUCAUGGGUAGGCACCUUGCACCCAUGAGGGCCCUGGGAGAGAAGCUAGGUGGGAUCAGAGGUUGGAUGCAUCAUAUGAGUGGAAUGGUGAUGACUGGUGGUGCAGCAUGUGCUGGCACAGGAUAGUGUCAGGCAGCACGUGCUUGAGCAAGCUGCAGAGGACCACUUAUACGAGGCCUCAGCAUGGGCAAGGCACACGGGCAAGCCUUGCUAGCACCCACACAUGGAAUUCAUGACAAGUGGUGGAAUGUAAGCCAUGGCCACAAUGGCACGGGGCACAGAGCAGUCACCCCUCUUGACAGUGGCACAAGGGCAAAAUGCCUUAUGCAAUGAGGUGGCUUGACACACAAGGGUGCAACGCCUUGUGUGGUCAAAUGAUAUUGCACCAAGAUGGGGCUUGGAUGCAGCACAGUGCUCCUGAAGCAACAAAGCUGACUUAGACAUGGUGACUGAUGCAUGACACAAGGGUGCAAUGCCUUGUGUGGGAAUGACAAGCCAUGGGUGCAAUGCCAUGGUCUGUUGUUGUACCAAGGAGGGGCUUGGACGUGACACGGUGCUACUGUAUUAACAAAGACAUUUCAAACAUGAUGGCUGAUGCAUGACAAGAGGGCAAGACAUGACAUUGGUGUGGCAUAACUAACUCUUAAGACUUGCAAGGUGGGGCAAAGCCUUGCAAGGGCUAACCCAUGGGUGCCUAAGACAUUGGCAGCACACUUCAACGUGCCAGCGACAAGGAGACAACUUGAUGAUGCAGAGACAACAACAAGGGUUGACACAGACAUGAUGGUGCAUGGCUGCUAUAAGGCAAGAGGGUCGGGCAUGACAUAGGCAUGAUAUGCUACCUCUUAUGGCUUGCAAGGCAUGGGAAGGGCUGGUCCAUGGGCUCCUAGACAUGGACAGCAACACCAAUGUGCCAUGGGCACCUAGUUAUGGCACAAGGUGUGCAGCAGUGUGUGGGACGAGGCACACUGAUGCAUUAGAGGCAGGCUGAACAAGAAAAUUUGACUAAGGCAAAGCAUUGAUGUGGACUGAUUGGCAUGCGUUGGGCUAAGACAAGGUGUUUGAUGUGGGCUUGACUCACAUGCACACAGGGGCUAUGGCAUGGACGUGGGACAACUUCCAACAAUUUGGGCUGGACAGGGGGCUCAAGUUCUGACACCAUCAAAGGGUUGUUCGGUGAGUUGCAGUGGCAAUUCUGUGGCACUUGUUGGGAAGAGGCACCACUUGUGGCUGCAUCAAAUGGCUUCAAAAGGCAUCAGAAGGCUUGGGGCUGGCAGUGUGGGGCUUGAAGUAGCACAUUUUAGGAAGAGGUGUGAUCAACUGGUAGUUUAAUAACUACCAAAACUGCCAGAUUUAAAUUCAAAUUCAAAUUCAAACAGAGGUAGGAGCCUCUGGUAUAGAUAGAAAGGGUUCCCCUAUUGCCGAAGGAUCAGAAAAAGGGGAAACACAGGGAAGUGUAUGAGAGACUGUGAAUCUUGGUUCCUGGACCCAGGCCAGAAAUAUUCCAAGUGUUAGUGCACUUAGCUAAUUUUGCAACCUUGUAUUACUUGAGAAAUAAAACAAGUUAGGAAGAUUUUCCGUAUCUGGUUGCCUUUGUGUUGCUUCCAUUUGGUUGUUUUUGAUGCCACGCAUUCACAAAAAAAUAAAAAAUAUAAAAAAUUGAUGGUAGAUUCGUGCUUGCGACACAAUCCAUCCUUGCUUCUAGCAAAAGGUAAAUACCAUAUGUAAAUUCUCAUGUUUAGUUAACAUUUAAGGCCAUUUUUUGGUCCAACCAAGGUCUAAUCUGCUACAUAUACACUUGAAAGUGUCCAAGGGAAACAUAUUGGUAUAAUCAAGGUCAAACAUGGACCUUAUAUGCAAGUCUGACGAUCCUACAAAUAAAAUAGAAGAAAAACUACUUCUUUCCUAAUUUCUCUGGUAUACUUUCUUAAUAUGGUUUUCCCUUAUUUGAUAUUUCAGAAAAAAGGAAAAUGCCCAAGUAGCAGAAACUCUGUUAUCCUACCUAGCUAUGUUAGAUGGGUUCGGAUACAAGGGUCGGAUGCUGGUACAUGUCUAAGUGUCAAAUUCUAUGCAUCCCAAAAUCUUAGGACAUUGGGAUUCGACUAAGAAGGAUCUCAACUAUGGGUGCGGGUACUUGGUUACGACAUUAAAUGAAAAUGAAUUAACGCUAAAUACAAGCAUAGUAAGAUAGCUAUAGGUCAUUUAUAAUAAUACAUGAUUAAUUGUAAUCGGAGAAUAUAUUUAUUAUCUCUUUUCUAUUUUAAUAAGAAGUCAGUUUUUUUAAAUUUGAUGUUGUGGUCAAUUGUACACAAAGAACUUGUUUAUCAUGCCUUUUAUUUUAAUAGGAUGCUAAGAAACAUAUUUAAGAUAAUAUCAUACCAUUAAAUUUAGAUUAGUUUAAAAUCUUAAAAAUUUAUGUUGAUUUUGUAAUAAAAAAUUUCUAAUAGAUUAGAUAUUGAUAAAAUAUAAUUCAUUUUAAAUUUCUUAUCAUAUGAAAAAAAAUUAAUUUUUUAUAUUAAUUAUUUUAAUUUAUCUUUAGAUUUUUAAGAUAUUAAGUUUGAUAUUUUUUAUGCUAUUAAUAAUUAUAUUUAUCUCUAACUUUUACAUAAUAUUAAUUAUGAUUUAUCUUUAAAUUUUAUUUUAAAAACUAAAAAGAGAUAAAGCAACUAUUAAUUAUUAUAUUUAUCAUUAAAUUUUAUAUGAUAUAAUUAUUAUAUUUUAUUAUAAUUUUAAAAAGUUUAAGACACACCCAUAUUGUGUCAGAAAUAUCUGUGUGGUGUUUUGGUGAUAGUUAAAGAGAAACAGAUAAAUGUGUGAUUAUUUAGCCAGGAAUCACAACUAUCUAGGUUACAUAAAAGGAGAUUGGAAAUUUGGACAAUUCUACCCGUUUCUUAGGGUUGUCCUUUUGAUAUGAGGAAUGAGUUUACAAAUCUAAAACCUAAAGACAUAGAUGAUCUAGAUGCAUUUACCCAAAACCUUAAAUGUGCUUAAUUAGAGACUAAAACUAGUUUAACGUUAAUCUUGUUUAAUUAUGAAUUAAACCAUGAUUAAGGUUAAGUGUGAUUGAUUAACAACUUAAAACAUGUGUAUUAGCUUCUUAGGGGUCAAUUAUUAGAAUUAUGAAAACCUAAGGGACUGAUGGCAGUUGUAGGCAUAAAAAUUUACAACUAGAGGUACUAAACUACAUAUAUGGGAAAUUGGUGGUUAGUGGCAGCCUUAUGGCCUGCCACCUCAUGCAUGCUAGCUUAGGGACCCCUUUAUAAGGGCUGCC
rnacentral:lncRNA from 1 species